rnacentral:rRNA from 1 species
AUUGAACGCUGGCGGCAGGCCUAACACAUGCAAGUCGAGCGGAUGAAGGGAGCUUGCUCCUGGAUUCAGCGGCGGACGGGUGAGUAAUGCCUAGGAAUCUGCCUGGUAGUGGGGGAUAACGUCCGGAAACGGGCGCUAAUACCGCAUACGUCCUGAGGGAGAAAGUGGGGGAUCUUCGGACCUCACGCUAUCAGAUGAGCCUAGGUCGGAUUAGCUAGUUGGUGGGGUAAAGGCCUACCAAGGCGACGAUCCGUAACUGGUCUGAGAGGAUGAUCAGUCACACUGGAGCUGAGACACGGUCCAGACUCCUACGGGAGGCAGCAGUGGGGAAUAUUGGGCAAUGGGCGAAAGCCUGAUCCAGCCAUGCCGCGUGUGUGAAGAAGGUCUUCGGAUUGGAAAGCACUUUAAGUUGGGGGGAAGGGCAGUAAGUUGAUACCUUGCUGUUUUGACGUUACCUGCAGAAUAAGCACCGGCUAACUUCGUG